rnacentral:tRNA from 1 species
GGCUGGUUAGUGUAGUUGGUUAUCACGUCUCGUUCACACCGAGGAGGUCGCCGGAUCGAGCCCGGCACUAGUCA